CAGUAGCCACGGGAAAACGAGGGGGGCAAGCGUUGUUCGGAUUUACUGGGCGUAAAGCGCACGUAGGCGGAUUCUUAAGUCAGAGGUGAAAUCCCAAGGCUCAACCUUGGAACUGCCUUUGAUACUGGGGAUCUUGAGUCCGGGAGAGGUGAGUGGAACUGCGAGUGUAGAGGUGAAAUUCGUAGAUAUUCGCAAGAACACCAGUGGCGAAGGCGGCUCACUGGCCCGGUACUGACGCUGAGGUGCGAAAGCGUGGGGAGCAAACAGGAUUAGAUACCCCAGUAGUCCCUGUCUCUUAUAU
rnacentral:rRNA from 1 species